rnacentral:snoRNA from 1 species
UAUUAUGAUGAUAAAAACUAACAACAACAACUUGAAUUUCUUCAACCGAAUAACCCAGGAGGAUACAAUUACUUUGACAAUAGCUUUUUAACCCUGAUA